rnacentral:rRNA from 1 species
GGAAAUCUCAUCAGGCCCGGACACUGGAAGGAUUGACAGAUUGAUACCUCUUUCUUGAUUCUGUGGGUGGUGGUGCAUGGCCGUUCUUAGUUGGUGGAGUGAUUUGUCUGGUUAAUUCCGUUAACGAACGAGACCUUAACCGGCUAAAUAGUCACACGAUUCUCGAAUCGUGACUGACUUCUUAGAGGGACUGUUGGUGUUUAACCAAAGUCAGGAAGGCAAUAA